rnacentral:snRNA from 10 species
AGCUUUGCGCAGUGGCAGUAUCAUAGCCAAUGAGGUUUGUCUGAGGCGCGAUUAUUGCUAAAAAAAUAAAAUAAAAUAAAAUCCCCUCCUUGCCUGCGGAGGCCCUCGGAGCAAGGACCAAUGGAUGUAUCCCCAUUUCUCAGAUG